GAUGAACGCUGGCGGCGUGCUUAACACAUGCAAGUCGAACGAAGCACUUUAUUUGAUUUCCUUCGGGACUGAUUAUUUUGUGACUGCGUGGCGGACGGGUGAGUAACGCGUGGGUAAUCUGCCUUGUACAGGGGGAUAACAGUUGGAAACGGCUGCUAAUACCGCAUAAGCGCACGGCAUCGCAUGAUGCAGUGUGAAAAACUCCGGUGGUAUAAGAUGGACCCGCGUUGGAUUAGCUAGUUGGUGAGGUAACGGCCCACCAAGGCGACGAUCCAUAGCCGACCUGAGAGGGUGACCGGCCACAUUGGGACUGAGACACGGCCCAAACUCCUACGGGAGGCGGCAGUGGGGAAUAUUGCACAAUGGGCGAAAGCGUGAUGCAGCGACGACGAGUGAGCGAAGAAGUAUUUCGGUAUGUAAAGCUCAAUCAGCAGGGAAGAUCAUAACGGUACCUGACUAAGAAGCAACGGCUAAAUACGUG
rnacentral:rRNA from 1 species